CCUGUAGAUAGGCGUGACCCGCUAUCGAAUCGAAAUGAUAGUUUCCGACAAUUCAAUACUUCAUUGCAUUGAAAUUGCGUCUUUAAGUCUGCAUCAAGGUUUAUUUUACAAUGGACAAAAUCAGUCAUGGCUCGCCGUAAUCCUUAAGACAAGGAACCUACUUUUGGGUUGGUAAGCCUUUCUACAUAAACAUUAAGGAGAUAUUUAUGUUUAGCUAAUGUUGUAACGUUUUUCACUACCCAACCGAAUAAAAAUUAAAUUUUA